rnacentral:rRNA from 1 species
UACAGAGGUCUCAACCGUUGUUCGGAUUCAUUGGGCGUAAAGGGUGCGUAGGCGGUCGUGCAAGUCGGAUGUGAAAUCUCAGGGCUCAACCCUGAAACUGCAUUCGAUACUGCGUGGCUAGAGUGCUGGAGAGGAGACUGGAAUUUACGGUGUAGCAGUGAAAUGCGUAGAUAUCGUAAGGAAGACCAGUGGCGAAGGCGAGUCUCUGGACAGCAACUGACGCUGAGCACGAAGGCCAGGGGAGCAAACGGG